rnacentral:rRNA from 1 species
CAGGGAUUGCCCUAGUAACGGCGAGUGAAGCGGCAACAGCUCAAAUUUGAAAUCUGGCUCUCGGGCCCGAGUUGUAAUUUGUAGAGGAUACUUUUGAUGCGGUGCCUUCCGAGUUCCCUGGAACGGGACGCCAUAGAGGGUGAGAGCCCCGUCUGGUUGGAUGCCAAAUCUCUGUAAAGUUCCUUCAACGAGUCGAGUAGUUUGGGAAUGCUGCUCUAAAUGGGAGGUAUAUGUCUUCUAAAGCUAAAUACCGGCCAGAGACCGAUAGCGCACAAGUAGAGUGAUCGAAAGAUGAAAAGCACUUUGAAAAGAGAGUUAAAAAGUACGUGAAAUUGUUGAAAGGGAAGCGUUUAUGACCAGACUUGGGCUUGGUUAAUCAUCUGGGGUUCUCCCCAGUGCACUUUUCCAGUCCAGGCCAGCAUCAGUUUUCCCCGGGGGAUAAAGGCGGCGGGAAUGUGGCUCUCUUCGGGGAGUGUUAUAGCCCACCGUGUAAUACCCUGGGGGGGACUGAGGUUCGCGCAUCUGCAAGGAUGCUGGCGUAAUGGUCAUCAACGACCCGUCUUGAAACACGGACCAAGGAGUCGUCUUCGUAUGCGAGUGUUCGGGUGUCAAACCCCUACNCGUAAUGAAAGUGAACGCAGGUGAGAGCUUCGGCGCAUCAUCGACCGAUCCUGAUGUUCUCGGAUGGAUUUGAGUAAGAGCAUACGGGGCCGGACCCGAAAGANGGUGANCUAUGCNUGUAUAGGGUGAAGCCAGAGGAAACUCUGGUGGAGGCUCGCAGCGGUUNUGACGUGCAAAUCGAUCGUCAANUAUGGGCAUGGGGGCGAAAGACUAAUCGAACCUUCUAGU